CUAGCGAGGGUUUUUUUCCAUUCCUCAAAUAGUUGGGUUAAGUGGGCUGAUGCAUUUGGAAGGCGUGAACUUUCUAAGCUCUGAAGGUUGAACUCCAUGAAGAUCAGCUGGAGCUUUUUUAACCAUCACAUGGAUUGUGGGUAAUUAGCAGAAAAAAUAUCAACAUGCACAGAUGCUGAGUGAAUAGCUUCCUCUAUUGAUUGAGGUAUGUUGUCCCCAACUUGAAUUGAAUUCUUGUCGAGAAAGACCUUAAAUCCCAUGUUCUCAAGAUUAUGAAAGAUGAGGCUGGCUACACUUUCCUUCACGUCUGUCCGAAGAAAUGCACUGUAUCUUGGAACCACCAAAGAAUACACAUACUUGUGGGAGCAGAACACAGUUGUGAUUGUUGUAAGCGUACACAGGCCUGAUUCUUUUGAAUGGUAGCAAGAGAGAUAGAGAAAGACAGCACAUUAGAGAUUAUUAUAAGAAUAGAUGGAGCAGAGGGAAAGGCAGAGGAAGUAGCAGCGAGAAAGACAGAGAAAGGGGCAAUACACGUUUGAGAUUAUUGCAACAACGCACAGAGGACUGAGUAUUGUUGGGGCAACGAACGAGUUCAAAUCAGACCAGAGUCUGGAGAAAUAUCUGGAUCUAAUGGUUGUUUGGACGAGUGAUGAUCGACACGAUGGACUGAAGGUUUCUGUUUGUGGUGCAGAGGAUCAAGGAUCCUAGAAGGGUUGGUUGUGUCUACCGUCACAGGAAAACAGGGGAGUUUCUAAGCUGAGGUUAAGAUCUCCUCCGUUGAAGUCCUAGCCGCUGAGCAUUUGCCUGCAGGAGCUUUUGGAGAAUGGUGGUUAACCCAUGUCGAAACCCUAAAUCUGGCAGAAGGGAUGCAACCAUCUGAAAGACCCCAUAUUCUGAUCAGAGGAGAUGCUAUUUGAAGGAUAGAAGGGUUGCUGAGACUGUUUCAGAUCCAGAUGUGCUGCUGUUGCAAGGGUUUCCUGAAAUCUGGUAUUCAUGGCGCUAUCAGGUGAUUGCAUUCCGGCAGAUGCAGGAUUUCAUGCAAUUGCUUCUGACUUCGGAGGCUAUGGACUUUCUGUUCGGCCUUGUGAAAUUGAAAAGGCCGGCGGCUGAUCGGUCUUCUUGAUACCUUUAGUAUACAGAAAGCAUUUGUUGUGGGUAAGGGUUUUGGAGCAAUGGUUGCACUAUCUCGACAUUCUGCACCCUGAUCGACUAAGAGGAAUGGUAAUUAUGGGUGUACCUUAUAUGAAUCCGGAUCUAUUGUCCAUUCGAUGGACAGGCUUCAUCGAGGCUUAUAUAUCAGACAUUGGCAGGAGCCUGGAAGGGGUUUGGCAGAUCUGGGCCUUUUGAUGUAGAAGGGUAAAGAAGGGUAAAGAGACCAUGGACCUCUACGACCCUGCAACUCCAUUAUCUGCUUGGUUUACUGCCUAUCUCUGACUAGCCCAACAACCAUGGAAAUAAUCAGUCUUCUGGGCAUUGCUACAAAAAUCUCAAAGGUGUAUUGCCCCUUUUUCUGCCUUUCUUUCAACCCCAUCUAUUUUCUUGAAAAUUCCAAAUGUGCUCUGCUCGUCUCUGUCUCUGUCUUGCUGCCAUUCAAAAGAAUCUGGUCUGUUUAUGCUUACAAGAAUCCCAAUCCCAACUGUGUACUGCUCUCCUCUGUCUGCCCUUCUUGGCCGGAAAAUAAAAGUAUGCAUGCUUUAUUGGUUCAAAAAAUAUGAUGUAAUCUUAACCAUCGUGUGAGAAAUGUGUAGGAAAAUGUAGCCAACCUUAUCAUUCAUAAUCUUCAGAACAAGGGAUUUAAAGACUUUCUUGACAAGAAUUCAAUUAAAGUUGGGGACAACAUACAUCGAUCAAUAGAAAAAGCUAUUCACUCAGCAUCUAUGCAUGUUGUUAUUUUUUCCGCUAACUAUGCUCAGUCCUUUUGGUGCAUAGAAAGAGCUCAAGCUGUUCCUCAAAAUUGAAGCUCACAUCAUACCAGUAUUUUUGUGGAGUUCAGCCUUCGGAGCUUCAAAUGAGAGAUGAAGAUGGUGUGCAUGCUCAAGCCUUCCAAAUGCAUCAGCACACUGGAAAUUUUGGAAGAAGAGCCCCCAUAAGGUUUCAUAUAUAGAAGGCUUUGCAUUUGUGUUUAAUUUAAAUAUUUUAAUUAUUUGCAGACUUGAAAGGAAGAAAUUGUCCCAUCCAUAAUGUUGAAGAUUGGAACAACUGUAGAAGACAUCCACACAAUGCAUAAAGCAGCAGUUAGGUUCACAGAAUUAUAUGAGAUCUGAGCCUGUUCUUGAAGAUCAGAAUUAGAUAAUAGGGAGCAUACAGCUGGAAUUUUCAGCCUUUCCUGUAAUGUACAUAUAUAAAUCAGUUAUUUCAUAAUAUUCUAGUAUUAUAAAUAUGCGAGCUAUGGUAGUCUAUAUGCCAUGGUUUCCUUCCAACUGAAAAGAUAAUUAUAAAUGUGCAGGCUAUGGUAGCCUAUUAUGCACACAGGAAUGUAUAAAUAAUGACAAAUAAUAAAAUCCAAACAAAUUCCAGAGUUGAAAAGCCAUUUCA